AUGGGCCUGGGGCCCGCAGGUCCUCAGCGUCCCGCCCCAAGGCAUGCGCGCGCACCGCCCUGCCCGAGCCGGGCUCCCGGGGCGCGUGGCCGCGGUUUCCUCCCCAGCUACCCGAGGGGGCUUCCGGGGGCACAGGAAGGUCCCGCCCCGUCCGGGCGGGGCCAGCGCACCGACGUGGCGCCCUCCACAGCUCCGCUCGCCGGGGACGGCCGGGAGGGAGGAGUGGCAGCGGCCAGGCAGCCCAGUUUCGCCAAGGCUCUUGGCGCGCCGCGGCCCGCAGGCACCCAGCACGCGCCUUCCCCGCCGCCAGGAUGCCCAAGAGGAAGGUCAGCUCCGCCGAAGGGGCCGCCAAGGAAGAGCCCAAGAGGAGAUCGGGGCGGUUGUCAGCUAAACCUCCUGCAAAAGUGGAAGCGAGGCCGAAAAAGGCAGCAGCGAAGGAUAAAUCUUCAGACAAAAAAGUGCAAACAAAAGGGAAAAGGGGAGCAAAGGGAAAACAGGCUUAAGUGUGUAACCAAGAAACUAAAGAAGAUUUACCUGCAGAAAACCGGGAAACGAAAACUGAGGAGCGUCCAGCCUCUGAUGAAGCAGGAGAGAAAGAAGCCAAGUCUGAUUAAUACCAUAUACCAUGUCUUACCAGUGGUCCAUGUCUCCCUUCUUGUACAACCCAGAGGAAUAUUUUUAUCAACUAUUGUGUAAAUGCAAGUUUUUUAGUAGCUCUAGAAACAUUUUUAAGAAGGAGGGAAUCCCACCUCAUCCCAUUUUUUAAGUGUAAAUGCUUUUUUUUUAAGAGGUGAAAUCAUUUGCUGGUUGCUAAUUUUUUGGUACAACCAGAAAAUAGUGUGGGAUGUUGAAUUAUGGGAGGCUUUGACUGUCUCGGUGUCAGCUUAACUUUCCAUAGAUGGGGGGUUAGUUUUUAUCCUAGAAUACAAAGCAUAUUAAAUGGCAAUAUGGAGUCAGUCCUGCAUUUAAUGUCUUGAACAUUUUAUUUUACUUCUAUUCUCAUGUUUUUUAGUAGAAUUGUUUCCUAAAGAAAACCGCUCCUUGAUCAUGGCGCUCCCUGUCGGAAUUGUGUGCACUCUGUAACAUCUUUGGUUGUGGUAGUCCUGUUUGCCUAAUAACUUUGUUACUGUGCUGUGAAAGAUUACAGAUUUGAAUAUGUAGUGUACAUGCUAUUCAGUUGUGAACUGGUGGGCCGUAUGUAACAGCUGACCAACAUGUGAAGAAAUUGGUACUUGAUAGCCUCUUAAGGAAAAUUUGCUUCCAAAUUUUAAGCUGGAAAGUCAUUGGAGUAACUUUAAAAAAGAAUUACAAUACAUGGCUUUUUGGAAUGUCGUUACAUAUGUUAAGAAUUGUGUACAAAUUGAAAUGUCUGUACUGAUCCUCAACCAAUGAAAUCUCAAUUAUGAAAAAAAAAAAAAAAUAGGAGGGAUUGCACACCCUGCCUUGCUGCUGAGGAGGGGCGUUUCCUUCUCUUCUUGGGUAGGCUUGGCCAAGAUCAAGGUCAUUUUUGGCUGUGCUGGGGAGGAGGGCAGGCGGUGGGUCACCCUUUUUGAGUGUGCUCAAGGCGUUAAUAGGUCCCCAGAGGAAGCAGUCCUGCUCUGAGCCAGAUUCCACCGUUCCCCUCCUGAAUCAGGUCGGUGGCCAGCCUGAGUGGGAAGCAGGGUGGGCUGCUGUGUCCAGACAGGGGGUUGGCCUCAUUCCCUGCAGUUCUGAGGAGCCAGGGACACCUGUGGGCCUGGGCGAAGUUCAUUUGGGCUCCUUGCACCCGUUCAGAAUGGCGAAUGAAGAGAGUCCUGGGCUCACCUGUACUUAACUGGCUCUGUGAUUCCCCUCUUAAUGGGCCAGUCACUUGACCUCUCUUGAGCUGUGGAUUAUUCACCUGCAGCGGGUGAACAUUCUGCCUUAACCAACUUUUCAAAGAGUGGCUGUGGGAAGGCACAUAAGGCAGUGCUUAUAGAAGGCCCUGGUGGGGCCGGGCACAGUGUAAUCCACACUUUUGGAGGCCAAGGCACGUGGAUCCCUUGAGGUCAGGAGUU